GCAUUGAUGGCUUAGUGGUAGGACGCUUGCGUUGCAUCUGGGCGACCCGGGUUCGAUCCCCGGUCACUGCA